UACGGAGGGGGCUAGCGUUGUCCGCAGUUACUGGGCGUAAAGCGCGCGUAGGCGGGUUGGUAAGUCCGCUGUGAAAGCCCGGAGCUCAACUCCGGAGGGUCGGUGGAUACUGCCAGUCUUGAAGGUGCUAGGGGGAGAUGGAAUUACCGGUGUAGCGGUGAAAUGCGUAGAUAUCGGUAGGAACACCAGUGGCGAAGGCGGUCUCCUGGGGCAUUCUUGACGCUGAGGCGCGAAAGCUGGGGGAGCAAACGGG
rnacentral:rRNA from 1 species